GUGAGAGGCAGAUGCAGUGCGUCGGACAAGGUGGCGCCAGUGACGGGGCAAGUGCUAUGUGUCCUGCUUCACAGAGGGUGCCCAUCAUCGCUACCGCCACCAGACACUGCAUCAUCCAUCUGGUGAACACGAACUCAUAAUCAAUUCAUGAUCCUUUGUCAUGAGCAACUGUGACGCGAGCACGAGCUUGACUGCGUACCUCGACCUGCUGAACGCGAGCUGUAGGCGCUUGCGGCAUCGUCACAAAUAAGAAAGACGGCAUUUAGAACUCUUUAGGCGGACUUGGACUUCUGAAUGUGCGAAACUUACGUUCGUAUAAAGAAAAGCGUACAUACGUAAGUUUACGACACCACUGUCAUUGUGAACACAAUACAAAUUUUGGGGAUGGAGACGCGCGAUGCUCAGAUCUUCGCAACGCACGAACGACGCUUUCGCUUCACAUUAUCAUAUAGACCAUAAAGUUUUUAAAACAUAUUAUAAUUUUAUUUGGCACAUCUCAA